GACGGAGGAUGCAAGCGUUAUCCGGAAUGAUUGGGCGUAAAGCGUCCGCAGGUGGCAGUUCAAGUCUGCUGUCAAAGACCGGGGCUUAACUUCGGAAAGGCAGUGGAAACUGAACAGCUAGAGUAUGGUAGGGGCAGAGGGAAUUCCUGGUGUAGCGGUGAAAUGCGUAGAGAUCAGGAAGAACACCCGUGGCGAAGGCGGUUCUCUGGGACGGUACUGACGCUGAGACGCGAAAGCGUGGGGAGCGAACAGG
rnacentral:rRNA from 1 species